GAUGUGAUGCGUCAAACGCCACUUUUGAGUGUGAAUGUGAUCGGAAGAUUUCAGACCUUCAGGAGAAGAGAAGAUAAAUAUCGAUUUACAUCACGCCUUAUGCAAUGACGUCUGGAUCUCGUCCAGCAUGCAGUGAACCAGAGGAACGGAGAGACGUCCCAGCGGCCCGCAGUCCUGACAACACCCUCUAUCCCCCUCUGAAAUCUUUAUUUACUGCCCCUCGCCGCCGAGAAAGCAUCCCGGCUAGUCCAAACAUGGGAGUGGUUCUCGUAUUUCAGACCCCCACUUUGUCUUCUGUGCCGAGUUCAGCGAGGCUCCCGGUCAGAAAUGUACACAAGCCUAAUUCGAGUUCGAAGAUCUCCGAAUAACCCGAAAGGGAUCAAAUUAAAAUUCCAAGACGGGCGGAAAAAAAAAAAAAAGAAGGAGCGAUGUGGGGUUUGAAAGUGGCCCCUGCUUCUUUAAGCUGGAUUUAAGUGAUCAAAGUUUCAUACGAGGCAGCCAUUGGUGGUAUUGAGUUACUCUAAUGGCUGCCAUGUGCUCCUGCCGACGGGCCCGAUCCACGGGCGUCUCCGGGGUGUCAGGCGCAAGACAGUUGUAAAAAGAGGGAGAGCGGGAUCGGCUAAAACCAGAUGCCUCGUGCACUUUCAGACCUCGUGCAUUUUUUCCCGAAUUAGCUCCAGAUUUUUGGAGGAGCGUCGUGCACCGAGCAUCUCU